AGCAGCCGCGGUAAUUCCAGCUCCAAUAGCGUAUAUUAAAGUUGUUGCAGUUAAAAAGCUCGUAGUUGAAUUUUGGGUCUGGCCGGGCGGUCCGCCCUCCGGGUGAGCACUGUUCCGACGCCGGGCCUAUCCUUCUGGUGAGUCGGCAUGUCCUUUGUUGGGUGUGUCGGGGAACCAGGACCAUUACCUUGAAAAAAUUAGAGUGUUCAAAGCAGGCGUAUGCUCGGAUACAUUAGCAUGGAAUAAUGAAAUAGGACGCGUGGUGCUAUUUUGUUGGUUUCUAGAACCGCCGUAAUGAUUAAUAGGGAUAGUUGGGGGCAUUAGUAUUCAAUUGUCAGAGGUGAAAUUCUUGGAUUUAUUGAAGACUAACUUCUGCGAAAGCAUUUGCCAAGGAUGUUUUCAUUAAUCAAGAACGAAAGUUAGUGGAUCGAAGACGAUCAGAUACCGUCGUAGUCUUAACCAUAAACUAUGCCGACUAGGAAUCGGGCGAUGUUAUUCUCAUGACUCGCCC
rnacentral:rRNA from 1 species